AUUGAACGCUGGCGGCAUGAUUUACACAUGCAAGUCGAACGGUAACAGGCCGCAAGGUGCUGACGAGUGGCGAACGGGUGAGUAAUGCAUCGGAACGUGCCCAGUCGUGGGGGAUAACUACUCGAAAGAGUAGCUAAUACCGCAUACGAUCUAUGGAUGAAAGCGGGGGACCGUAAGGCCUCGCGCGAUUGGAGCGGCCGAUGUCAGAUUAGGUAGUUGGUGGGGUACAGGCUCACCAAGCCAACGAUCUGUAGCUGGUCUGCGAGGACGACCAGCCACACUGGGACUGAGACACGGCCCAGACUCCUACGGGAGGCAGCAGUGGGGAAUUUUGGACAAUGGGCGCAAGCCUGAUCCAGCAAUGCCGCGUGGAGGAAGAAGGCCUUCGGGUUGUAAACUGCUUUUGUACGGAACGAAACGGCUCUGGUUAAUACCCGGGGCUAAUGACGGUACCGGAAGAAUAAGCACCGGCUAACUACGUG
rnacentral:rRNA from 1 species